CCUGCCCUGCCUCCUCACACUUGUUGUACCAGUAUGUGUUAAACUGUGGGAGGUGCGGGGUGUGUGUUCCCGGCCUGCUGGUGAUCUAGGAUUCGAAACAAGGACUCGAACUGAAGACAACCACCGUUAAGCCAGCAAGCCAAGCCAAGCCAAGCCACUCAGCCAACCCAACCGAAGCCAAGCCAAACCAAGGUGUUGAGGCCACGCUCCCACGCUCCCAUGCUCCUACCAACGCUCCCACGCUCCCACCAGCUCUCCCAUCAACGCUCAAUGCUCUAAGGUCACUGUUCCUCACCUCUCCCACGCUCCUCAACGCUGCCGGCUCUGUUCUCCCAAGCUCCCACGCUCCCACGCUCCCAGGCCUUCGUUUUCCAUGCUCCCACGCUCCAAGGCCACAACGCUCCUCUGUUCCCAGUCUCCCACGGUCUAUUUCAGUCUCAACGCUCCGGAAUUCCUGUUUUUUCACGCUCCUUUCAAGUUUCACGCUCUUUUUCAGUCCACAACGCUCCUUUUUUGUGGUUCUAAGCUCUAUUGUAGUUUUCUAAAGUCUGGUCGAGUUUCCAUGCUCCAGAAGUGUUGUUUUCACGCUCCUUCACUCUAGGUUAUAUGCUCCAGUUAAUUUUUCACGCUCUUUUUUGGUGUACAAUGCUCUUUAUCUGUUUCUAAAGCUCUCUUCUUGUUUACUUAAGGUCUAUUUCAAUUUUCUCUCUUCCAGAUUUCACGCUCCACUCACUACUACUACUACUACUACUACUACUACUACUACUACUACUACUACUACUACUACUGUUUUCCCCUUC